rnacentral:tRNA from 1 species
UAGAAGGUAGUAUAAUGAAGUACAAAAGAUUUUGAGUUUUUUGGUGCGGGUUCAAUUCCUGUUCUUCU